CUGGGACGCAGCCUGAUCCAGCCAUGCCGCGUGAGUGAUGAAGGCCCUAGGGUUGUAAAGCUCUUUCACGGUGAAGAUAAUGACGGUAACCGGAGAAGAAGCCCCGGCUAACUUCGUGCCAGCAGCCGCGGUAAUGAUCCUGCCCC
rnacentral:rRNA from 1 species